AGUGAACGCUGGCGGCGUGCUUAACACAUGCAAGUCGAACGAGAAAGGAUUAUAGCUUGCUAUAAUUGUCAGCUAAGUGGCGCACGGGGGAGUAAUGUAUAGGUAAUAUGCCUCUUACUAAGGGAUAACAAAUGGAAACGUUUGCUAAUACCUUAUACUCCUUAUUAACAGAAGUUAAUAAGGGAAAGAUUUAUUGGUAAGAGAUUAGCCUGUAUUGUAUCAGUUAGUUGGUGGGGUAAUGGCUUACCAAGACGAUGACACAUAACUGGUUUGAGAGGAUGAUCAGUCACACUGGAACUGAGACACGGUCCAGGCUCCUACGGGAGGCAGCAUUGGGGAAUAAUGCACAAUGGACGAAAGUCUGAUGCAGCAACGCCGCGUGGAGGAUGACACAUUUCGGUGCGUAAACUCCUUUUAUAUGAGAAGAUAAUGACGGUAUUAUAUGAAUAAGCACCGGCUAACUCCGUGCCAGCCGCCGCCGUAA
rnacentral:rRNA from 1 species